rnacentral:rRNA from 1 species
GACGAACGCUGGCGGCGUGCUUAACACAUGCAAGUCGAACGGAAAGGCCCUGCUUUUGUUGGGUGCUCGAGUGGCGAACGGGUGAGUAACACGUGAGUAACCUGCCCUUGACUUUGGGAUAACUUCAGGAAACUGGGGCUAAUACCGGAUAGGAGCUCCUACUGCAUGGUGGGGGUUGGAAAGUUUCGGCGGUUGGGGAUGGAAUCGCGGCUUUUCGGCUUGUUGGUGGGGUGGUGGCUUACCAAGGCUUUUACGGGUAGCCGGCCUGAGAGGGUGACCGGCCACAGUGGGACUGAGAUACGGCCCAGACUCCUACGGGAGGCAGCAGUGGGGAAUAUUGCACAAUGGGCGGAAGCCUGAUGCAGCAACGCCGCGUGCGGGAUGACGGCCUUCGGGUUGUAAACCGCUUUCGCCUGUGACGAAGCGUGAGUGACGGUAAUGUGUAAAGAAGCACCGGCUAACUACGUG